CAGUUGACCGAACUACGUUAAAUGUUUGUGUCUCUUUUGGUAUAUUUCUCCUUUGUUGUAUGAUUUAUCGUCGCUCAAGGUUUGUUUUGCUAGCUUCCGUAUGACACCUGAUUUUUACGAUCCUAACAGUAAUCUCCUAGUCACAUGGCAGCAACAUUACCAGUUACACCAAAUUUGGAGCCGCAGAAAUAACAAAUUUGGCGCAAAUUGGACCAAAUACUAGUCUGAUACUUAUUGUCUCUUUGCUCAGGUUAAGAUACCAUUUGACCAAAUGAGAACAAUAAAAUGGAGAUGUCCAUAAAACAUCACUGUUUGGAGCUAAAAUAUUACAACCAUCUGCUUAAUUAACUCCAUGUUGCAGAUGAAAAAGAAAUUUUGUUGUUGUAAGUAAUUGGAAUGUACUGCCUUGUUUUCACUAAUUAUGAGUAUUACUCUUUGUGAUUAAAGUGUUUGUUUUGAGUGGUUCUUGACAUACAGAAAUUGGAGACUAAAUAAUUGAAUCUCAUUUUCGGCCGGGCAAGCCAGUGCAUGAAGCAUCAUGCGUUUAUGCAGGGUCCGGAGAAAGGCCGCACCCCAAGAAGGUGUGAUGUAGGAAGCCUACCCUAAUGGCUAAUGCAAGUACCAACGGCCUCGUGACUUAUAGGUCGCACAGAACAACUUUAUCACUGCUCCAAGGCCUCCCCUUCGGAAAUCUAAGUUUUUCAAAAUAUUAGGCAUUAAGUCAUCUGCUCAUGCUUAUGUCAACUAAUAAAGUCAGAGUAUAACACUUAGUUUUUUUAGUUUAUUUAUCAUAAUAGGAAGGGUUUAAUCAUAAGGAACAAAAAGAUCCUCUGACUAUGUUAUUCAAAUGUGCAGAUGCAAUUUGAUUCCUUUUAUCUUUUCUUUUCCCUAUGUGAGAGAUUAUAUCUAUUCACUCUCCAUAUAAAGUCAGGGUUAUGAUUGAACCAUUCAAGCUAAAAAUAUACAUUUCGCAUUUUGGCUGUUGAAGGACAACUCCAACAUCAAAAUGGGAAUGUGCAGAGAUGUCAACACUGAACCCAAACAACCACCAAGGGUAGGGGGAAAUAGAGCAACUUUAUUUGUAUAUGUUAUGGCGGGGAUCGAUGUCAUGGCUUUCUUCGCAACUGGUGUGAGCUUGGUGACUUACUUUUAUGGAUUUAUGAACUUCAACAUAACAAAAUCAGCCACUGCUGUUACAAACUUCAUGGGAACAGCAUUCUUGCUAGCAUUAUUUGGAGCCUUCCUUUCAGACACUUACUUGUCCAGAUUCAAGACUUGUGUU